UAUUUCUUUGCUGGCAUGUGG
ensembl:piRNA 21ur-3149 ncRNA